rnacentral:rRNA from 1 species
UACAGAGGGGGCAAGCGUUGUUCGGAAUUACUGGGCGUAAAGGGCGCGUAGGCGGCCUGUUAAGUCGAACGUGAAAUCCCCGGGCUCAACCCGGGAACUGCGUCCGAUACUGGCAGGCUUGAAUCCGGGAGAGGGAUGCGGAAUUCCAGGUGUAGCGGUGAAAUGCGUAGAUAUCUGGAGGAACACCGGUGGCGAAGGCGGCAUCCUGGACCGGCAUUGACGCUGAGGAGCGAAAGCGUGGGGAGGCGAAACAGG